GGGGGUGUCCCGGUUUCGACUAGGGAAUGAACUAUUGAUUGCAUGCGGAGGACGUCGGUUGGCCUCCUUAAUAAUCCGAUAAAACUAUAAAUGCCAACAAUGGUAAUAUGUUUGCUAAUGCUAGAGCUUUAGAGGAAUCUGAAGAAAUGGUGUUUGCAAAUGCUGCUUAAGACCUAAUAGUCUUAGUAGUACGAUAAUCCAAAACUGGACCAAGGGGUUUGGAACCUAUCGUUUUAAUUAACUUGGUAUGAACCCACUUCCGAGCUUCUAGGGAGUGAAGUUUAAGAUCAAAUGAAGCAAACUGAUUCUAAUGUUGUAUCCUGCAUGGGAGUCAGUUAACUUUCAGGAUGCUAAGCAUGUAGUGGUUAAUACGUAGUUUGCCAAGGACGAGAGUUCGAUUCUCUCCACCUCCAAUA
rnacentral:tmRNA from 1 species